rnacentral:snRNA from 1 species
GGGUGUGAGGCCGAUCUGGCCGAGGCAGCUGUUCCCCUAUUGAUCGCCAGGGGUUGAUUUGCCUGACUGGCUGGCUAGGUGUGUGUCCCCAUCCUCCCUCACCAUUCCAUGUGCAUCCCUUCUGCAGCUGCACGCUCAGUCAGUCAACGAAGACGACCUUCCUGGACUAGAGGAGGAUGUGUCUUUGGUCAAGGGUACAUGAGUAGCUGCACUCUCCUGCUUUCAAAACACUUGCUGAUUGCCCUUCUCUGCAGAAAGCACUCCAAAGGGCCCCAUCCGCGGGAAGCCUGUCUGC